rnacentral:rRNA from 1 species
CCUACGGGAGGCAGCAGUGAGGAAUAUUGGUCAAUGGAGGAGAGUCUGAACCAGCCAAGUAGCGUGAAGGAUGACUGCCCUAUGGGUUGUAAACUUCUUUUAUAAAGGAAUAAAACGAGGUACGUGUGCCUUUUUGCAUGUACCGUAUGAAUAAGGAUCGGCUAACUCCGUGCCAGCAGCCGCGGUAAUACGGAGGAACCGAGCGUUAUCCGGAUUUAUUGGGUUUAAAGGGAGCGUAGAUGGGUUGUUAAGUCAGUUGUGAAAGUUUGUGGCUCAACCGUAAAAUUGCAAUUGAUACUGGCAGUCUUGAGUACAGUUGAGGUAGGCGGAAUUCGUGGUGUAGCGGUGAAAUGCUUAGAUAUCACGAAGAACCCCGAUUGCGAAGGCAGCUUACUAAACUGUAACUGACAUUGAGGCUCGAAAGUGUGGGUAGCAAACAGGAUUAGAUACCCCAGUAGUC